GGCUGGGGUCGUGGAUAUGGAUGGGGAUCACCGUUCUUCUACCCGAGAUAUUACGGAGGAUAUUAUGGUGGAUUCGGAGGCCCAGCAAUCGUUAUUGGAUAAAAUGAAAAACUCUAUGAGGACUGCAUUCAUGGUUGUGUUUAAGUGUGUGUCAACAAUAUUACCGUUUGCUGGACAAAUGAGGAAGUCGUAAAAAAUGAAUGGUCAAUAGAUGGAAGUGCGCAUAUUUUCGAAUGGUUUUCACAGUUAAAGAGCUCAAAGCUAAGGAAACUAAAGGAAUCCAUGUGCGAAAGAGAUAUAAAAAUUUGUAGGGUAAAGUGGGGCAAAUCCGACCGUUGGGUAAACCCGACUCCCCUCUGUUAUCGAAAAUCAGAAGAACUACGCGAACUAAUAUCAAUGUUGUCGUGUAGAGCAUCGAAAAUAAUCAUAAUGGUGGUAUGACAGCAUUUCAUUAGUCUACAUUGAGAUACUAAAACGACAAAAAGUGUGUUUUUACAACUUUUGAUUUGACUUUUGGGCAUCACUGACUACAGGAUAUUUCUGAUUGUUGAAGUGAUUACAUAAUAAAUCCCUGAGAACUUCCUUCAUGUAAAAUCUUCCGAAAUCGUAUCAUUAAUUAUCAACCAUUUUCAUGGACGGCGAUAGCAAUUAGAAAAACUACGAACCCCGUUUUUGAAACCAUUAAAAUAUUUUGGGAAUCCUAUCAAACUGUCACUGAGACUGAUGGAUUGAAGCGGUUGGCUUUAAUGUCGUAAAUUUACAUGUUUUGAUAUCAAACGAUUGAAAUACGCCACCAAACACAUUGUGGGAAACUUUGUCAGCUAUUUUAGUUCCCCGAUGUACAACAAUCCCCUGAAGCACUCCAUUAUCACAUUUCUGCGCCAUUGCCGUUUACAUUUGACACAUCUUCGAACCAAUUAGGUCUACAAUACUAAAAACCAACACCGCUUAUCUUCGAAAACAUCUCGAUCACACAAAAAGCUAACUUGGACUUGGUUGCAAAUUUGGUUAGAUUUUGGAAGCAGACGCGUAACACGCUUCAAUCUGUCGACAGCUUCUAUACUUGAAGAUUCCUAAGCAACCCUCUCUAAUACUGUGAUUUAGGCAUUUAGCGAAGUGAAACAAUGAACUUCAAAGUACAUUUUAUAUUCCUGAUUUUUGUGACCCUGCUUUUGGCCCAGAGCUGGGCUGCUCCUGCCCCACAUCACGGAUGGCGUAGGGGAUUCGGAUUUGGAUAUUAUUCAUCGCCAGUUGUAUACUACACAGGAGGAUUCUACAGUCCGUAUUACGCACCGGAUGUCAUUGUGGAAACACCGUACUACACAGUGCCGAGUGUCUAUUUUGCAUAAAAUUACAAGAACUGAUGGUUGCAUAGUGCUUCAAACAUAUGGUUGAAGUCGUCACUUCGCAGGAACCAGAACAGAGGAGUACAAGGCUUGCUUGAUCAAUGCGGUUGGUUGUAGAGGAAUGAAUAUUGGCAAUGGAAAAGAUAUAGCAAAAUGUUUAAAUUGUGAAUUGGUUGAGAGAGAAGACAAAUAUAUUAAUAAACCGUCAAAAGUGUACAUUUGAAAUUUGUUUAUGA